rnacentral:misc_RNA from 1 species
GGAAGGUAAAAGUCGUAACAAGGUCUCCGUAGGUGAACCUGCGGAGGGAUCAUUACAGAGUUCAUGCCCUACCGGGUAGAUCUCCCACCCUAUGUUAUUAUUACUUUGUUGCUUUGGCGGGCCGUUAGGCUCCGGCCCGACUACCGGCCCCGGUUGGUAAGCGCCCGCCAGAGGACCCAAAACCCUGAAUAUUAGUGUCGUCUGAGUACUAUAUAAUAGUUAAAACUUUCAACAACGGAUCUCUUGGUUCUG